rnacentral:misc_RNA from 1 species
CUGGCCAACCAGACUUUCUAUUGCUCUUGGUGCUGCUCGAGGUUUGACACAUCUUCAUACAUUUUCUGGCCGUUGCAUUAUACACAGAGAUGUAAAGUCAAGCAACAUACUUCUAGAUCAAAGCAUGAAUGCCAAGGUGGCAGACUUCGGCUUCUCAAAAUAUGCUCCUCAGGAAGGGGACAGUGGUGCUUCUCUGGAAGUAAGAGGCACUGCUGGCUACUUGGAUCCAGAGUACUAUUCAACGCAGCAUCUAUCAGCAAAAAGUGAUGUCUUUAGCUUUGGGGUGGUUCUCCUUGAAAUUGUAAGUGCACGGGAACCUCUAAACAUCCACAGGCCGCGGAAUGAAUGGAGCUUGGUUGAAUGGGCAAAACCCUUUAUAAGGGAGUCAAAGAUUGAUGAAAUUGUGGACCCUAGCAUAAAGGGAGCAUAUCAUGCAGAGGCAAUGUGGAGAGUGGUUGAGGCUGCAUUGGCAUGCAUUGAGCCCUUCUCUGCUUAUCGACCAUGCAUGGCUGACAUUGUUAGGGAGUUGGAAGAUGCUUUGAUCAUAGAGAACAAUGCAUCUGAGUAUAUGAAGUCCAUAGACAGCAUAGGGGGGUACAGCUUGGGAGGUUCCAAUCGCUUCUCGAUAGUCACAGACAAGAAGAAUGUUAUACCACCACCCACUCCAACCCCAACAGAACCUUCACCGAUUAACACACAAGCGAUGGCUCCUCUAGAACCAAGAUAGUAGAAGGGUUCAGAAGAUAAUAAUUGGAAAAUUGUUGUCAGUUUAGUUGCAGCAUAUGAUGAAUUACAGAAGGGAAAUUUGAGGAUUAUUCCCAAU